rnacentral:lncRNA from 1 species
GAGGAGAAGCCCGCGGCGCAGUCUAUGGCCUCCUAGGGGGAAGGGCCUUGAGGUCCCUGUCCUUCUCCUAACAGGCGGCGACGCAGCCAUGGCCUUGCUGUCGUGGGAGUCCCAGACAGGGUAGGAAGGAGGGCCAUAGAAAGGAGGAGGGCCGAGUGAACAUGGAGUUUUGAAGGGGGAAACCAUUUGUGGUAUUUGAGUCCCGGAGGCAUAUGAAACCGCCCACAGAAGACACAUUCCAAAGUCUUCAGUGGGAACCUGGGAGAGGGCAGAGGACUGCGCGGCGCUGGAUGGGGUAGAGCGAGGAGGGUCGAGGAGGGGCGCCACAGCCCACAGAGCAGGCACCGACCUCACUGCGCAUGUGCCCUGGGCGUCUUCCCGUCGGCCCCUUUGCCCACGUGGUGAACGCGGCGGAGCUGUGAGGGUGUGAGGGUCGCGCUCCUGCUGUCUGGACUUUUUCUGUCCUACUGAGACACGGCCGACAUGAGAUGAUGAACCUCAAGUACCACCCCAGACAACAAGGCUGCUUCAUCAGGACACAAACCUGCCUGUACCAGGACCUCUGACCUGUGUGCAGCAGAAGGAGUGGGUCAACAUAGCUUCUGAAGAGCAUUCAUUGGAGUGAAUCUGCCAUUUAUUGGCUGUUCUUCAAACCAUAAGACUGAUAUUGAUGGUCAGCUUACAGAGGUAUGCUCUCUACAGGUAACCAUCUAAGCAUUUUAAAUUCAUGGAAAUAUUUAAUCUUCACAUUAUGCCUAUAAGGAACUGCAUAUUGAGUCUUGAAAGUAUCUAGUACAUGUACUGGAGGAACUCCAAUAUUUAAAACCAAAGAAGAAAUCUGAUGAAGGAGACUAAAAGGAAGCCUCUAGAUGAAGAAGAAAAAUGAAGAGAACAUUAUUACAUGGGAGCUAAGAAAAGAGACUGUCGCAAAAAAUAGGAGUUUGAUCUUCUUGAUGAACAUUAUAAUCAUUUUGUCAGGAUUUGGUCCAGAAUUGGAUUACUUUUAUAAAUACUGCCAAGACGAUGAUAACCUGUAUUUAGCUUAAUGUAAGGAUAUCAUAGAAAUGUCUGACAAAUGUCUGUAUGCAUUCAUGUUCAUUAUGCACUUCCUCAUGGAUUCUUCUGGAUGAUUAUAAUUAUUUAAAUUAUUGAGCUGGAUGCUUAGUUUAGUAUUCAUUUUCUCUUUAUCCUCACAGGCAAAAUACAAUAUACUUUCGUCAUGUUUGAUGUUUACUGAUCAUUUAAUAUUUUGUUAGCAGUAUAUUAAUAUAAUUUUUUAUUGCAUUUCUUCAAACUUAGUAUUUACUUAAAAUACUUUUUAUAUUUGUAAUAUGGCCCCAAAUUCUCUAAUUAUGUUUUCUUUUAAUUAUUUGUUCAGUUCAGCUCUCUGGGGCUGGUUUAAAUACAUCGAAGAGCUAAUCUAGAAAAGGAUGCCCUGAAGAAUAUAAGGAAAAAGUGAAAUUUUUCCAGAGAAAGGAGGGAACAUACCAAUAAUAUCUAAAAAUCUGCAUAGGGCCUUUGUCACUGUUCUGUGCUUGUUUAGUGGAUUUCAUUUCAAUUUGUGUUGUAAAGAGAGAAUGGCAUGGUAAAUUUCUGCCUAAAGAAUUUAUUGAUUGUUUUCUUUUAAAAGUAGUCUAUAGACCCUAGAUGAUAAAGUAUAUUCCCUGUAGGAUGUAAGUAUUGAUAAGUUACUGCAUAAUGCUAUUUGGAGCUUGAGUAGAUUAGCAAAGACAUAAUUAAUUUUGUCAGGAAACAUAACAGGUAGUCACAGUAUCUUAAAAAGAAUUGUUUUUAUUUGUAUAAAGCAUUAUUUUAUGUUAACUGGAAUAUGAGAUUUAAAAAGAAGAAGCAGAAAAAUAACUGUAGACAUGAAAAGAGAAAAAACAUAUUUGUAUAGUUGUAGCAUAAAGGUUGAGGUAUCCUAUAUUGUCUUUGCUUGAUUGUGAAUAUUACACAAAGUGCAAAGACAUGUCUUGUGUAAAAACUUCUAAAUUCCUACUGGCACAUGCACUUUAGCAGAUACAUAAAUUCCAUCUCAUUUUAUCUGCAAUGUCUAUUCCAUCUCUGUAGACAGGCAGAGCAAAGCUUAUUAUAGUUCACCCUUGUUAAUACGUUUUACCUUUCUUAAUUUUUAAAUAGCAUGCUGACAAAGACUCUUUCACUAAUAGUCUCUCACUGAUAAGACCCUCGAGCCCUCUUGUUGAAUUGGCCUUGGUCUUGGCCUUUCAUGUUUAUCCUGUCUUUGCCAGGCCUGCAUAUCCCAAAUUUAGAAAGAAUCCUGCCAAAUCAGCUUAGUAAUAGUCCCUCUACCUUUGAUAUCUAAUCACCCUUGACAUUUGAACAAGUUCCUCAUCUCCAUCAUUGAUUUAUAAGUACUUGGCUUAUCUUUAGCAAGAAUCUUACUGGGUCACUUUAGCAAGAAUUCCCCUUCCCUUGAUGUCUCUUCUUAGUAAUUUUCCAUCCACAGAUCCCUCACUUUGCACAUUGGUCAUAAAUCCCCACUUGUCCUUAUUGUAUUCAGAGUUGAGCCUGAUCUCUCUGCCUUGUUGCAAUAGUCUCUAAUGAAGUCACCAUUACUGUUUUAAAAAGUAUUAGAGUAAUUUUUUCUUUAACAGUGCUUGGUUAUUAAAAUGACAGUAAAAAGAAUUUAAAAUUAAACAUCUUAAAAUAGGUCUUUGAAGGUAAUAAUCAAACUAAAUAAUUGUUCAAAGGAGAAGUAAUGAAUAAGCUGCAUUUUUUUCAUCCAGCAGUACUCAAUAUACUAUACUGUGAACUCUCAUGGUCUGUUUCUUUACUAAUAUAGUCUAUCAUGCUUUGGAUGUGUGUGAAGAUUCAUAUAUGUGAAGUUCUGUUCAUGUGGAUGUUUGAUAAGAAGCAACUCUUCUCAUUUCAAUAAAGAAAAAAUAUAAAUGGAAACCACUGAGUUGUGAACGUUGGAAAACUGCAGGGAGGAAAUAUAUAAUUUCCUCUCCCCAUGUUAGGUUCAUGAGUGAGGCCCCUAUAAGAAAACACAAGUUAACAAAAGAAAAGCAUACAGAUUUAUUGAAUAUGUUUUACAUGCAUGAGAGCCU